rnacentral:lncRNA from 1 species
CACAUUACAACUGUGGGACAUUUCUGGGACUGGGCAGCGCACAGACCGUGAAAAACUGCUUUAACACACUUCCAGCAAGAUGUGUGGUCUGUGGAAUGCCAUCGUAAUCCUUGUCGACACAUGGGUGCGGCACCAGACCACAGCCCAGUGCGGUGGGACAAAGAAGCUGCCUUUGUUGCCACACAGUCCUUCUGAAAGACGUUAGUCCGCAGGAUGAAGAUGUCGAGAUGUCCCUUCUCAUGGACAGAAGUUUCAUUUUACCCAGAUGGGAGACACCGGCCGACACCCACAACAGCGCUAUGUCCAUGGAGAGAAGAAAAAAAUUAUAAACACCAGACCACAGUUCGAUCAUCACCUCAUUACGCUCUCUGGCUCGGAGUCAUUAACUCCGAUAGUGAACCUGCACUGUUCCUGCUUCUCUCCUGUGGCCUGGACUUGGAUGUCCCAAGUAAAAAGUGUAAAAAUAAAAAUUACCGGGACAGGGUGCCAAUUAUUUGUGUUUAACAGCUAGCCACGAGUAAAGAUUUAAUAAAGAAUCUGAUUAUGAUGAAUUGUUAUCA